GGCUGUCGUCAGCUCGUGUCGUGAGAUGUUGGGUUAAGUCCCGCAACGAGCGCAACCCUUUGUCUUUAAUUGCCAUCAUUUAGUUGGGCACGUUUAAAGAGACUGCCGGUGUUAAGCCGGAGGAAGGUGGGGAUGACGUCAAAUCAUCAUGCCCCUUAUGUCUAGGGCUACACACGUGCUACAAUGGUGAGAACAAAGAGACGCAAGACCGCGAGGUGGAGCAAAUCCUAAAAAGCCGGUCUCAGUUCGGAUUGCAGGCUGCAAUUCGCCUGCAUGAAGUCGGAAUCGCUAGUAAUCGCAGGUCAGCAUACUGCGGUGAAUACGUUCCCGGGCCUU
rnacentral:rRNA from 1 species